AUUGAACGCUGGCGGCAGGCCUAAUACAUGCAAGUCGAGCGGAGCGGCGGACGGGUGAGUAAUGCCUAGGAAUCUGCCUGGUAGUGGGGGAUAACGUCCGGAAACGGGCGCUAAUACCGCAUACUAUCAGAUGAGCCUAGUUAUGAUUAGCUAGUGGGUGGGGUAAAGGCCUACCAAGGCGACGAUCAGUAACUGGUAUGAGAGGAUGAUCAGUCACACUGGAACGGAGACACGGUCCAGACUCCGACGGGAGGCAGCAGGGGGGAAUAUUGGACAAUGGGCGAAAGCCUGAACCAGCAAUGCCGCGUGUGUGAAGAAGUUCUUCGGAUUGUAAAGCACUGUAAGUUGGGAGGCGUUACCAACAGAGAAAGCACCGGCUAACUUCGUGCCAGCCGCCGCGGUAAGAC
rnacentral:rRNA from 1 species